rnacentral:rRNA from 1 species
AACCUCCGCAAUGUGAGAAAUCGCGACGGGGGGAUCCCAAGUGCCAUUCUUAACGGGAUGGCUUUUCUUAAGUGUAAAAAGCUUUUGGAAUAAGAGCUGGGCAAGACCGGUGCCAGCCGCCGCGGUAACACCGGCAGCUCUAGUGGUAGUUGUUUUUAUUGGGCCUAAAGCGUUCGUAGCCGGUUUGAUAAGUCACUGGUGAAAUCCUGUAGCUUAACUGUGGGAAUUGCUGAUGAUACUGUUGAACUUGAGGUCGGGAGAGGUUAGCGGUACUCCCAGGGUAGAGGUGAAAUUUUGUAAUCCUGGGAGGACCACUGUGGCGAAGGCGGCUAACUGGAACGAACCUGACGGUGAGGGACGAAAGCUAGGGCGCGAACCGGAUUAGAUACCCGGGUAGUCCUAGCCGUAAACGAUGCGGACUUGGUGUUGGGAUGGCUUUGAGCCGCUCCGGUGCCGAAGGGAAGCUGUUAAGUCCGCCGCCUGGGAAGUACGGUCGCAAGACUGAAACUUAAAGGAAUU